GACGAACGCUGGCGGCGUGCCUAAUACAUGCAAGUCGAGCGGACGAAUCGAAAGCUUGCUUUUGAUUCGUUAGCGGCGGACGGGUGAGUAACACGUGGGCAACCUGCCCUGUAGACGGGGAUAACACCGAGAAAUCGGUGCUAAUACCGGAUAACACGAAAUGUCGCAUGACGUUUCGUUGAAAGACGGCGCAAGCUGUCGCUACAGGAUGGGCCCGCGGCGCAUUAGCUAGUUGGUGAGGUAACGGCUCACCAAGGCGACGAUGCGUAGCCGACCUGAGAGGGUGAUCGGCCACACUGGGACUGAGACACGGCCCAGACUCCUACGGGAGGCAGCAGUAAGGAAUCUUCCGCAAUGGACGAAAGUCUGACGGAGCAACGCCGCGUGAGCGAAGAAGGCCUUCGGGUCGUAAAGCUCUGUUGUUAGGGAGGAACAAGUAACGCAGUAACUGGCGUUACCGUGACGGUACCUAACGAGAAAGCCACGGCUAACUACGUG
rnacentral:rRNA from 1 species